rnacentral:ncRNA from 2 species
AUGAAUCUUCGGGGCAGGGUGAAAUUCCCGACCGGCGGUGAUGAUUGCCUGCGCAAUCCAGCCCGCGACUCGGUGCGGCCGUUAGACGCACCGACUGACUUGGUGAGAAUCCAAGGCCGACGGUACAGUCCGGAUGGAAGAAGGUAAAA